rnacentral:tRNA from 1 species
GCCUCGGUAGCUUAAUGGAUAAAGCUACGCCGUCCUAAGGCGCAGAUGGGGGUUCGAUUCCCUCCCGGGGCA